GAAACAAGCAGCAGGUCCCAGUCACAGCCAGAGUCGAAAGACUGGUGUCUCUCAUAUCAGGGCUCCUGAAACCAGUGCGGAAAUGACCAGUGACUUUCCUUCCGUUACUGCAGAGUCCUUCCUUCAAGAGCUUAAAAGCUCACUGUUUGAGGAAAUACAUGAGGAUGA